rnacentral:tRNA from 1 species
GGGGGUAUAGCUCAGUGAUAUAGCUUAUGCUUAGCGUGCAUGAGGUCCUGGGUUCAAUCCCCAGUACCUCCA